CCCUUCCCGAUGCAUUAAACAUCGAGGUGCUACCAUACGGAGUGAAAGCUCAAAGGAUGCAUUGAGAAACAAAGUCCGUAAUACAGACCUCUCAUCUUCAUGUCCAACAAUGUUACCCAAAAGAGGUCCCCUUCUAAGAUGAAAAAGGAACUCUGGUAACAAUGACAGUUCUUUGGGGAAUCGAUAAAGUUUUGACUUUGGUACUUGGGACCCAAAUUUCAAAGCAAUGUCUUUAAUUCUCUCAUCUAUUGUUGCCUGCAUAUCGAUUGCAUCAGAAUAGUUUUUGGCUUGCAAGAGAGUCCUCUUGGCAAUAAGGAUUGCAGCCACUUCAUCUUGAACACUUUCAAGAUAUGCAGAAACACUAUCAACAGUAGGCAAUCUAACAGUAAUAACUCUUGAAAUAUCAGCUUGAUAAAUGCCCAAGUAUUGAAUUGCAAACUGGAAAUAUACACAGUCGCUUUUGAUGUCUCCUUUAAUUUCCAUGGAAAGAGAAAAGCUCUGGGUUUCUUCUACACUUAACAUUUGAAUUGAGAGAGAAGUGUCAAUUUUGAAAGCUUCACGAGUGUCUAAGUAUGCCUCUUCACCAGGACCCACGACUUGAGUAAUAAGAAUAUCAUCAGAACA
rnacentral:misc_RNA from 1 species